rnacentral:misc_RNA from 2 species
AAGUCGUAACAAGGUCUCCGUUGGUGAACCAGCGGAGGGAUCAUUACAGAGUUAUAAACUCACCAACCCUUUUGUGAACCUAUCCAAUCGUUGCCUCGGCGCGAGCUCUUGGGCGAAGUUACCCUGUAGCUACCCUGUAGCUACCCUGUAGCGGUUACCCUGGAGCCCGCCGGUGGACAUACAAACUCUUGUUUUAAACAUAUUAUCUGAGCGUCUUAUUUUAAUAAGUCAAAACUUUCAACAACGGAUCUCUUGGUUCGG